rnacentral:rRNA from 1 species
AACCAGCACCUCAAGUGGUCAGGAUGAUUAUUGGGCCUAAAGCAUCCGUAGCCGGCUCUGUAAGUUUUCGGUUAAAUCUGUACGCUCAACGUACGGGCUGCCGGGAAUACUGCAGAGCUAGGGAGUGGGAGAGGUAGACGGUACUCGGUAGGAAGGGGUAAAAUCCUUUGAUCUAUUGAUGACCACCUGUGGCGAAGGCGGUCUACCAGAACACGUUCGACGGUGAGGGAUGAAAGCUGGGGGAGCAAACCGG